GAGAAAGUGGCAAACGGCUGAGUAACACGUUGGUAUCUACCUUGGACUCAGGGAUAAUCCCGCGAAAGCGGGACUAAUACCGGAUGAUCUCGUAAGAGUAAAGCUUUUGCGGUCCGAGAGGAGCCUGCGGCCUAUCAGUUUGUUGGUGGGGUAAUAGCCUACCAAGACUAUGACGGGUAGCUGGUGUGAGAGCAUGACCAGUCAGAAUGGGACUGAGACACGGCCCAUACUCC
rnacentral:rRNA from 1 species